rnacentral:rRNA from 1 species
GACGGACCACCCAAACGUUAUUCGGAAUUAUUGGGCUUAAAGGGUGCGUAGGCUGUGCAGUAAGUUGGGUGUGAAAUCCCUCGGCUCAACCGAGGAACUGCGCCGAAUACUGCUGUGCUAGAGGAAGAUAGGGGUAAGCGGAACUGAUGGUGGAGCGGUGAAAUGCGUUGAUAUCAUCAGGAACACCGGUGGCGAAGGCGGCUUACUGGAUCUUUUCUGACGCUGAUGCACGAAAGCUAGGGGAGCGAACGGG